AGCGGAGGAAAAGAAACCAACAGGGAUUGCCUCAGUAACGGCGAGUGAAGCGGCAAAAGCUCAAAUUUGAAACCUUCGGGAUUGUAAUUUGAAGAUUUGGCAUUGGAGAAAGCUAACCCAAGUUACUUGGAAUAGUACGUCAUAGAGGGUGACAACCCCGUCUGGCUAACCGUUCUCCAUGUAUUGCCUUAUCAAAGAGUCGAGUUGUUUGGGAAUGCAGCUCAAAGUGGGUGGUAAACUCCAUCUAAAGCUAAAUACUGGUGAGAGACCGAUAGCGAACAAGUACUGUGAAGGAAAGGUGAAAAGAACUUUGAAAAGAGAGUGAAAUAGUAUGUGAAAUUGUUGAUAGGGAAGGAAAUGAGCGGAGAGUGGUUGAGGUUUCAGCGCACCCUUGGGUGCGUGUAUUGCCGACGCCGAGUCAUUGACAGCGAGACGGGGGCUACAAACAGGUUGCUCUUGAGCUUCCCACCUAUCCCCCCCACUGCCGCCAACGACAUAAUCCGCCCAUUUCACCCGUCUU
rnacentral:rRNA from 1 species